rnacentral:rRNA from 1 species
GCUAUUAUUAAUUAUUAAUAAUAUUCAUCUAAUUAAAAUUAUUUUUAAUAUCUAAUCCUUUCGUACUAAGAUAUUAUAAUUAAUUUUUUUUUAAAGAUAGAAACCCUGGCUCACCCCGGUUUGAACUCAGAUCAUGUAAGAUUUUAAUGAUCGAACAGAUCAAAAUUUUAAACUUUUGCAUUUAAAUUUUAUCUUAAUCCAACAUCGAGGUCGCAAACUUUUUUUCCUAUUUGAACUAAAAAAAAAAAUUACGCUGUUAUCCCUAAGGUAAUUUUUUCUUUUAAUCAUUAUUAAUGGAUCAUCUAAUCAUAAAUUAAUGUUAAUAAAUAAAAAAAGUUAAUUUAAUUUUUCUAUCACCCCAACAAAAUAAUUUAUUUAAUUUUAAUUUUAAAAAUUAUAUAUUAAUAAUAAUUAAAUAAAUUAUUAAACUCUAUAGGGUCUUCUCGUCUUUUAAAAUUAUUUUAGCUUUUUUACUAAAAAAUUAAUUUCUAUAAAUUAAUUAGAGACAGAAUAUAUUUCAUCCAAUCUUUCAUACAAGUCACUAAUUAAAAGACUAUUGAUUAUGCUACCUUUGUACAGUCAAAAUACUGCAGCCCUUUAAUAAUUUUAUCAGUGGGCAGAUUAGACUUUAAAUUAUCUUCAAAAAGACAUGUUUUUGAUAAACAAGUGAAUAUAAAAUUUGCCGAAUUCCUUUAAUUAACUUUUUAUAAUUAUUUUCCUAAAAAAAAAUUAUAUACUAAUUUUAUCAUUAUAUCUAAUUUUAUUUUAUUAAAAUAUAUUUUUUUAUAAAAAUUUAAAUUUUUCUUACUUAAAUUUUAAUUUAAAUUAAAUUAUUUAUAAAAAAUUAUAAUUUAUAUAACAAUUUAAAUUUUAUAAUUUUAAUUUAAUUAAAUAAUUUAUUAUAAAAAUUUAUUUUAAAGCUUAUCCCUUAAAAUAUUUAAUAUUAAUUAAUAAAAUUUUCACAAAUAAAAAUUUUAAAUAUAAUAUUUAAAAUUAAAUUUUUUUCUAAAAAAACUAGAUAUUUUUAAAAACGAUUAACAUUUCAUUUCCAAUUAAUUAUUUAAAAUAAUUAUGCUACAUUAACUUUUUUAAUUAAUUAACUCUUUCAAAUUCGAGAAAUUUUUAAUUAAAAAUUAUUUAUUAAUAUACUCUGAUACACACGAUACAAUAAAUUAAAUUUACUUUUUAAUAAAUUUAUUUUCCCCUAUUUAUAAAUUCUUUUAUAAUACUAUUUUACUAUAAAUUUAAAAAUUUUUUCUAUAUAUAUACUUUAACCCCCAUUAAAUAUAUAUAUUUUAAAAAUUUUUUUAUUACAAAUUUAUUAUUAAUUUUUCCCCCU